GCAUACUGUUUUCCAGCCUCUCCUAUUUCCUCCAACUUCCUGUUUGUCCGUUGUCAGCCACUGUGGGACAAGGGAAUGGGAUCUUAAGGGACUUCCUUAUUGGAACCUCAUCAUGACGUCCAGAAACAGGAGAAAUGGUCUCUGUCAUUUUACACCAUGGAGGUUUGAGCAGCUCUUGGCAAGGACAAUUCUUCCCUCUUUGGCCAUGUUCGGGUCUGGCCAUUUAUGUGGACCAUUUUGGAGCCAAAUGCCAAGUUUAACUGACAUAGGGGAGACAUAUACCCAGGACUCAGUGGCAUAAGAACAAGGACCACAUCAGGAGAGCAAGAGUUCAAAUUAGCCACGUGCCUAAAGAAGCAAACAUUGGUGCCAUGUAUAUACAAGCGAAGGAACCCUGGAAGCUAACAGAAUCUGAAAAAAAGCAAAGAAAAUAUUCUCCCUUAUGGUGCAUCCAUAAAACAUAAUGUCCGUUGCUGACACAUCAAUUUCAUUAACAUCUUUUACUUUUUAAUCCAGAAAUAUAAAGCAGUAAGUACUUGAGCUACUUAAUUUAUGUAAUUUGUUGCAAUGAUAGUAGAAACUAUAUAUAUGAGAGAUAAAAAGCCAUAGGAGCAAAAAUAUGUAAUUUUUUUCCCACAAGAAACCUGUUUCCCAAAUAAAAACAAGGAUGAAAGAAUAAAGUCCCCUGGGUAAAGCAUGUGAGUGAAUUGCCUUCAUGUGACUUUACAAAGUCUUUUACCAAUUCCAGCUUGCUGGACCUAGCAAUUUAUAAUGGCUACCAUCUUCCUUUAAAUAUGUAUUUUACUCAUAUCAGUCUGAGAUAAUUUGUGCUUUGGUGAGACCAAUUCUGUCUCUGUAGGUUUGAUUUUGUAUCAUUUUUGCUUUGGUGUACUCUCUGUUCAUUUAAAAUUUGUCCUUAGAAGUCAAAGCCAUUCACAUUCUUUCUGGAUGAUUUGGUAGAGACUCAUGCUCAUUCUAUGUAUUAAGGCUACUCAUAAAGAAAGAUAUUUAACAAAGAAAUCAUCCAGUGAACAGAAACGUCUCUUGUUCAGCAUGUACCAGCACCUACUAGUAUCUGGGUGAUAUUCAGAGGACAGCACCAGUGCACAUCCAUCUGGAUGAAACUACACUUCUACUACUCAUUUUUUUAAUGCUAGAGGGCAAUCAGCUUUACCAUAAAGGCUACUAGAUGAUGCUCUGUACUAUUGACUCUUCAAUCAACUGCAUACUUAUGUUUCCCUUUUUGUUUUGCAACCACAUGAUUCUGACAUAUAAAAUCUACGUGCAUGUCAUUUUUAAAUAUACAUUGUGAAGUUAUUUCUAUAUUCUCAUUAUUUAAUGUAUCUAUCAUCUAUGCAUUGUUAGCAUUUUGUACACUUAAAUAAGGAAAAUUGUAGCAAAAAUCUUCAGUGUAUGCUGUCAUAUAUUACAGUUUCCUACUAACACUCAGAUGUAUCUCCGUGUUGUUGAACAGAGCACAAUUCCUCAAGACACUUAUAAGAAAAGAUGAUAAAGAUGAUCAAUCAUAUAACUCCAAAAGUCUGCAGUGAGUGUCUGUGCAUGUCACUAGCAAUCCAAAGAUAACUCCAUUUUUCAUUGUAAUGUUAACACAUUUAUAUUUCCUUAUAUACUCUCCCCGUUAAAAUUGUAUUAUAUUAAAAAUAUAUUGGCAUUGAAAUAUAAUAGUAUUAAUUUGUGUAUGUGUGCAUGUGUGUGUGUGUGUAUAUAGAAGACCUUAGAAGCCAGAGGCUUUGGAUAUCAUUUGAGCUAAAGUUAUAGGCAGUUAUAAGCUUAAAAAUGGGCACCAGGAGUUGAAGGUUGGUCCUCUACAAGAACAGUACAUACUCUUAACCACUAUGCUGCUCUUCAGCCCUGGCAUUUACAAAAAUUUAAGGGACUAAAAAUAAAGGUAAUUUUCAGCAGAGGGUUUCUAUGACUGCUGAAGUUGCAAGAAAUUUGGUCGAACAAAUGCUUGUAUAUGUUAAAGCAUGUUCAUGGAACAUGCUGC
rnacentral:lncRNA from 1 species